rnacentral:rRNA from 1 species
GACGAACGCUGGCGGCGUGCUUAACACAUGCAAGUCGAACGGGAUUUAGUAAACGGAAGCCUCGGUGGAAGAUUACUAAUGAGAGUGGCGAACGGGUGAGUAACGCGUGAGCAACCUGCCUAUGACAGUGGGAUAGCCUCGGGAAACCGGGAUUAAUACCGCAUAAAAUCGUAGAAACACAUGUUUCAACGGUCAAAGAUUUAUCGGUCAUAGAUGGGCUCGCGUCUGAUUAGCUAGUUGGUGAGAUAACAGCCCACCAAGGCGACGAUCAGUAGCCGGUCUGAGAGGAUGAACGGCCACAUUGGAACUGAGACACCGUCCCAACUCCUACGGGAGGCAGCAGUGGGGAAUAUUGCACAAUGGGGGAAACCCUGAUGCAGCGACGCCGCGUGAACAAAGAAGGUAUUCGUAUCGUAAAGUUCUGUCCUAUGGGAAGAUAAUGACAGUACCAUAGAAGAAAGCUCCGGCUAAAUACGUG